CGGCAUCUCAAAUAUGAACAACUAUAACCGGCAUCACUAAUAUGAACAACAUACCUAAAUUUCAUAUAAGUAGAUUUAAGCAUAUAGUUGCCAUACAUAGGGCAUAGUCGGACUCAAAUAUGUAAAUGUACACAUAGGCAUAUCAAUAAAUCAUUCUCUGGCCUUGUCGGGUAUCAAUAUAUCAUCAUAAAUAUCCUUCGGUCUAUUCGGAUAUCAAUAUCAUCAUAAUCAUUCUCCAGCCUUGUCGGGUAUCAUAUAUCAUUACAAUAUCCC
rnacentral:lncRNA from 1 species